GGGAGGGGGGGGAGCUCAAAUAAUACAUACCCAGUUCACUUGCUGGCUACGCCCUUGCGAAAAAAUCGUGUGAAAUGCAGGAAACGCUAUUUUCUAGCAAUGCUAGUACUGCAAUCCGGCGGAAGAUUGCGGUGAUACUCCUUUAAUAACCCGCUCACGUUUUUAAUAUAAAGCAUAGUAAGUUCAAAGUGAAAUCUCGAUUAAUUGGAUUACCAUGACUUUGAGAAUAAAAUUAAAUAAUCGUUUACCUUAAACCAAAACCGGUGUUCGCCGAAAAACCGGAAUGAGAAUCAACUAACCACAUCACUACAACUGUCACACACAUUGUUGACACCAUCGGAAAGAAGCGAACUUUCGCGACACAGAUUUUAUUCGUGUUUUCUUAUAAAACGGCAGUGGCAGUGAAAAAUAUGCUUUCCCUAUAAUCUUAACUAGUUUAUCCGGCGUACCGUCACAGUAUUAGAGGGAAAUAUCUCAGUAUUAAAGCAAAAUGGUGGACUUAAGUGGGGGCCAAGAUGGCCCGUUGGAGCAUGCAUUUUCUAACUCAGUUUUCAUCAUUCCUGGGCUUGUUGUGAUCAGUUUAACAGUAUUCUUCGGCUACAAACUCUACAAGUCCAUAAAAGACAAAGAAGUAAAAAGGGAAGAAAAGAAGAAAGCCAAGCAGAUGAAGAAGAAGAAAUGACCUACCGACCUGACCAUCGACAAACUGUACUCUACUUUUUAUCGUUAUAUCGCUAUGGAUAAAACUUGUCAUGUGAAGUAUGGGUAGCGGUAAGGAAAACACUGUGUAUGAAAAACUGUCCGUCAAAAAACCUAAAAUAGGUGGCGCUAUAAUAUCUAGAAUACUUUAUUAAAAAAAAAAACAAUUCAUUGACAGCGCACUUCACUCCAUCAAUAAUUCAUUUCAUAUCCUAUAGCUACUCUAGCGCCACUCUGGAGAGAUUUGGAACCGUUACUUAUAGCUGAUAGCUGGACACCCCAUAAGAGUUUUCUCCUUACUUCUACCCUCUAUAAUUUUAUUACUGUAGAUAAUACUUGUCAUGUCAAAUAUUAUUUUGACAAAUGCGUAUCGUAUUUUAUUCUAAAGUCAAUUUUAUCGCGGUUAAGAAAUUACAUGACAAUUUUAUCAAUCUCGAUAAGCGAUAUAAACGUGACCUAUAUAGGCUCGCAUUUAUAAUUUAACAGUUUUUAUUUCUUAAGAAUAUUAUAUAUUUAAUUUCUGUUCAAUAUUUCAAUCCCACUUUAACCCUUGAAACGUUCAUAUAGGAACUAUUUUUUAACUUGACCUCAUAUUUAUGUGCCAAAUUAUUUAUAAAUAUCAAUGACUACUUUACUAAAAUCGUCUCUUGAAAAUCUUAACCCUCUGGACGCCGUGGAACCUUAAAGAUGUUAUCGUGUCUAUAACCACUUUUAUAGGGUCCGUCCAAACUAACUUGGCAAAUGACAGUGUGGAACGCAAUCUAAAUUAGAGAUGCCACGAACAGAGGUUUUGGCCAAAUUCUGAAUACCGAAUAUUCGGCCACACUCUCGGACGUGGAGAACGUCCCUUCGGCCGCGUACGCAACCAGAGCUUCGUAACCAGAUGCGAUCGAAAACUAUUUCUGCCUUGUACGAAACCGGUUGCGAUCAAAAACUAAUUUCGUCUUACCCGUAACCAGUUACGAUCGAACACUUCUCGUUCUUAUACGAAACCAAUGUCUGGGCCAUCUAGCUAUAGGUUUUUUUUUCAAAUAUUUUGUCAUGAUACUCAUGAUAAUUUCAUAUCCUGAAUGUCAGUGCUCCAUGUCUCUUAAGCCAGUGUCUUUUAAGGAACAAGGUUACAUUGUAUUUGCCAACAAAGUAUUUGAAUAUUAUCAACUGGUACAAUUUUUGUGUUCUGAUUUUUGACUAGAUAUAUAACGUGUACAGUACUUAUACUGUAUAACAAGGUGUAAAUAUAAUCUUAGCUGACUUUAUCAACGGUCGAAAGGUUUCGUACAACAAAGAAAAGUGUUCGAUCGUAACUGAUAACUAGUAAGACGGAAUUAGUUUUUGAUCGCAACCGGUUUCGUACAAGGCAGUAAUAGUUUUCGAUCCCAUCUGGUUACGAAGCUCUGGUUGCGUACGCGGCCGAAGGGGAGAACGUAGAGAACGUGUACAUUAUUUAUCACAUUUCGUAUGAAAAAUAGUCGCCUAAAGGCCAAUGUUUGCCGACGGAAUAGUUCGCAAUAUUCGGCAAAGUGGCCGAAUACCGAAUAGUUGCCAAAUAUUCGUGGCAUCUGUCAUCUAAAUACACCUUUUGUCAGUGUAUUGUAAGGAUCGUGACAGUUUUUAGGCAUCUUUUUGCUAUUUUUUCCGAGAGCAAUUUAUUCUCUUCUAUACAGCACAACCCGACACACAUAAUGAAAGGUUAAAGCUUAAUGCACACACGGAGGGAGCAGGUUGUGAGCGUCACCAGGCGAGCCCGCGACGGGUCCUAGUAGGCUGUAUAAGGCCCAUUUUAGGGCGCAGGAGCGGUCGGGCUCGUGCGCGCGUUUCAUUUACCUUUUAUUUUAUUACAACUAAAACGGACCUUAAUAAAGUAUCUACGUAGGACCCGCCGCCGAGCAUUCAUACUGCGGCGCACGCCCGCUUGGUCACGUUUAUGCCCGCUAAAGCUCGCGCACGCUCGCUCCCGCCGUGUGCAUUAAAUAAGCUUAAAAAUGUUAAAAUACACGUGACGUAAAGCCAUUAUACAAAUAACGAAAGUGUAACGAGUGGUGACGACCACUUUGAGGACAUAUACAAUGGGCGCUUUGAAUUUUACCGUCGUCUACGGUAAUAUCAUUUAUCGUCGCGACAUAACAGAACCAAUAUGUAUGAUGGUGUUUCCACAUUGGCUGUUGUAAAAUGUUGUAUAAUCACCAUAAGAUUGUCGAUAUUAUAAUGUCGUGGACGGUAACGGUCAAAUUUGGAAGAUAGUAUUAAAAGCCAGGGAUCGGAACCGGUUUUUUGAAAAAACUUUGAAAUAAACAUAUACUUCGGUUUAUUUUAUACUCCAAAUAUAGGACUCGGGUGUGUUUUUAGAUAACGACUUCGUAUUAUUAGAUUGCUCAAUUAGAAAUGAAAUAAUUAACAAAGAACGAAAAAAUACCGUUUUCGUUCCCAUACAAAAAAUACCGGUUUCCGAUCCCUGUUAAAAGCUACUCCAUACAAUCUCAUACAUUUAGGUACCUUGCUUUGUCGUGGCGAUAAACAGUGGUGGGACAAGACCAAAAUUUGAUGUGGGCAAUUUAGCGACAUUUAGCGAGGCCCUCUGGUGGCGCAAGAAGUAACGAACAUUUUUACGUUGUAUCCAAGUUAUCCUUAUUUGAGGCGCGAGGCCCCUCGGACCGCGAGGCCGUAGGCGGUGGCCCACGUCGCCCACGCCUAACGCCGCCUCUGUCGAUAGAUCGUGUUGUUGACUUACGACCACGAUAGCUCGUGGCAUUGUAACGACAACGUUAGACAUUAUUGGCGUUCAAAGGGUUAAAGGUAUUUAUUACUAAAACGAUCCCAUUUAAUCUUUUGAGUAAGUAUAAGCAAGUAUUAAAGUCUAUCUUGGUUGUUAUAGGCACAAAAUUAUGUCAAGUUUUUAUUAUAAUUUAUCAAACUUUUAUUGAUAUGUAAGUAAUGUAUAAUUUGAUUCGAAACAUUCCAUUAUUCUUCCAUAAUAUACAUAUAUUUAAAGGGGCGAAUUUUAAGGUGAACAUACCUAUUAAUAUAUUAAAACGGUACCCCUAGUGUAAAUAAAUUCGAUUUCGAAACGUGACGUACGCGUUUGCGUUUAGUCUCAUUUUGUAUUGGAUUUAGAAAGAGCGCGCCAAGCGGGACGUUUUGGAAACUCAAAAUCCUAUACAAAAUGAGACUUAACGCAAACGCGUUCGUCACGUUAUGAUGUCGAUCAAAUUUACACUAGGGGUACGGGUCACUCACGUAUUUUAAUGCAUAUAUUUGAUGUCUGUGCCCCACAGAAGUUUUGUUAAUAAUAUUAAAAUACCUACUUAAUAAGUUUUGAAACAGGUUUUAAUAAGUAGCAUGAAAUUUAUACUAAAACAAUUUUAAACAAAAUUGUAGUUACAUAUAGUUAAGAAAGAACUGCCUCAAAUUUAUAUAGAGUAUAUAGACGCGUAAUUAUUUAUUUAUGGUAUGGCAAUUAAGAACCGUGAGAUCUUGGGGAAGACAGUACGGCUACGGUUGCCAGUUUGUUGCAUUCUUAGCAAGUCUUUACGAAGUAAUGUCUAUGACGGUAACACGAUUUAUCGUCGCGAUACGUAGCUUCGUGACCCCUGGGUGGUGCUAAGACACGUAAUCAUUGGCAUAUAUAUCUAAGACGGGCCUUACGGGCAAUGAGAAUGGGGCCAGUACAGCGGUGUCACGCACACGAAUUCGAGCCAAUCGCGAAGUCUCACGCCACAACGGGAUUGGUUGAUGAGUUCACAUUAAGCGCGCGAUUGGUCGCAACUAGAUGCGUUACUGCACAAUUGGCUCGAAUUCGUGAGUGACACCACCACUGAACUAGCACCAUUCUUAGUGUCCGUAAGGUUCGUCCUUAGAUAUAUGUCAAUGCAUGGAAGAUCAUUUUGUAUAUUAGCUACAGCGCACGACAUGGCAUAAAAUUUAUAAAUAUGAACGUUCAGGGCCUGGAACAACUAAUCAUGCCAAUAAUACAUAGCUACAGACAAGGAGCAGUCCUUAAGUAUUUGAACUGUUGUUUUGUCCUCACGUAUAAUAUACUGUAGGGCUAAGAUGGUCGGCUCUUUAUCAUUUGUCACCAUGGCUGUCACGUUCUAAUAAGUAUGUAAGCGCGAAAGUGACGGGUAUAGUGACAUGUGAUAAAAAUGGAACCAUGCUGCCACCGCUGCAGCUGUAGCACGGUCGCAUUUUUAUCACUUGUCACCAGUGGCGGGGCAAGACCAAAAUCUGGUGUUGGCAAGGUACAAUUAGCGAGGCCCUCUGGUGGCGCAAGAAAUAACGAAUAACUUUUUACGUUGCUUCCCUAUAUGUAUUUGAGGCGCGAGGCCCCUCGGACCGCAAGGCCGUAGGCCCACGUCACCCACGCCUAGCGCCGCCUCUGCUUGUCACUAUGCCUGUCACUUUGUGUUGUAGGGCACAGCACAGCGGAUGUCAUUCCAGAUCUAGAGCAGAGCCCGACUGGGGAAGUACCUCCACCUUACAGAAAACAGCAGCCAAAUAACACUAGACCAUACUCAUAGUGUUGUGUUCCUGCCGGUGAGUAAGGUUGCCAGAGCU